GGAGAGAUGGUCGAGUGGUUUAAGGCAGCGGUCUUGAAAACCGCCGAGGCGCAAGCCUCCGGGAGUUCGAAUCUCCCUCUCUCCGCCA
rnacentral:tRNA from 1 species